rnacentral:rRNA from 1 species
AUUGCCCCAGUAACGGCGAGUGAAGCGGCAAGAGCUCAAAUUUGAAAUCUGGCCUCCCUUGGGGGGUCCGAGUUGUAAUUUGUAGAGGAUGCUUCGGGUGUGGCCGCCGUCUAAGUUCCUUGGAACAGGACGUCGUAGAGGGUGAGAAUCCCGUCUUGGGCGGCCGGUCCGCGCCCGUGUGAAGCUCCUUCGACGAGUCGAGUUGUUUGGGAAUGCAGCUCUAAGCGGGUGGUAAAUUUCAUCUAAAGCUAAAUACUGGCCGGAGACCGAUAGCGCACAAGUAGAGUGAUCGAAAGGUUAAAAGCACCUUGAAAAGGGAGUUAAACAGCACGUGAAAUUGUUGAAAGGGAAGCGCUUGCGGCCAGACUCGAGGGGCGGGGUUCAGCGGGUGCGCGUCACCCGUGCACUCCCCGUCCCCCCGGGCCAGCAUCAGUUUCGACGGCCGGUCAAAGGCCCCCGGAAUGUGUCGUCUCUAGGGACGUCUUAUAGCCGGGGGUGCAAUGCGGCCCGCCGGGACUGAGGAACGCGCUCCGGCUCGGAUGC